rnacentral:lncRNA from 1 species
GGUUUUAUAUCAAAGUGCCCACCGAACUCGUUAAAAUGUAUCAAGUACCUACCUAAUUUCCACGACGACUCAAUUACAAUACUAAAAUCAUUAUAUAUAUCAUGCUGUUAAUUUUUUUUAAUCCCUUAACAGAAAACGUUAAGUCUAACGCUUCUUUUUGCUGUGUUGGCAGACACAUGGAAUAAAAUGGGUCAACAAAAAUAAAAACAAAAAUACAUGCAAUAUACACACACCUGAUCAAAUUCCACUUAUUCGCUCUCUCUUGGGAUAAAACCUCUGGUGGUUUGAAGGUGCUCUGAAGCUACAUCGGUGAUCUUUGAAGGUAAUUAUUCAUCUUUGAAGCUUUGUUUAGUCCAUUAAUUCGAUUACUCAAGGUAUGCUUUAGGGGUUUAUUAGGUUCAGUGAGUUCAUUUGUUGUGGCACUUUACUAUAUUUUGUGCUCUAUUUUUCUCCUAUCACUAUGGAUUUUGUGUACUUUUAGUGUGUUGUUUCUUUGCUAUAUAGGUCAUGUUAGUGGAUUGAAUGAAGUCAUGUGUUUGAUAUCAAAUUAAUUGAUUAAAAUUUUUAUUUGUUCAAACAGUAUGUGUAUUGUGAUACAUAUAGAGGUUAAUCAUCAUGGUGUAUUUGCUUCCCAACCUGAAUGCUAUUAUAUUGGUGGAAAGUCCACAGUGCCAGAAUCCAAAAUUUUAUCUAAAGUAACACCUCUGUUAUGCAUAAUAAGCCAAUGAAGAAAUGAGUAUCGAGGAAUUGCAAGACCAUGCGAUACACCUUUGUACCAAGAAACAGUAGUGCUAGCAUUGCGCAGGUCCACAAAUUUGAAACUUUUAUCGCCCCAAAUCGAAUGCCAUCCCAAGAGAUUUCAUCAUUUUUUUUGUUUUUAUUUUUAUUUACCCAUCUUAUUUCAGGUGUCUGCCAACUCAGCAAAAACAAUGAUAACAAGAGUUAACACUUAACGGUUUCUGUUAACAGAUUAAAAAAAGUUAACAGCAUGAUAUAUAUAAUGAUUUUAGUAUUGUAAUUGAGUCGUCGUGGAGAUUAGGUAGGUACUUGAUACAUUUUAACGAGUUCGGUGGGCACUUUGAUAUAAAACCCAAUAAUCAAGAUACAGUUGUCUCUAAUCUACUUGCAUCGACACAAAGAUUUACUAGAAAUCCAAGGAGUGUAAGUAAUUUAAGGCCUUUGAUGGAUCCUAAUCGUCUAAGAACAUUUUCUCUUUUUCAACCAAUUUUGAACUGACCCAAUCUCUAUCGAAACAAAUAUCUAGCCAAACUUCACAAACUCUUAUUCUUUUUUUUUUCUUUUUUUUGCAUUGACUUUAUUUUGUCCGUUUUCUUAGGCUUUCUAUGUUACCCAUGUAGCGAGCUUUAGGUCAGUGACUCCCAAACCAAACGGUCUUAGGGCACUAGGUUUUGAAAUCCCCCGACGGACUUAAUAACUCGAGUAACAAAGGCCACAAAACGGGACUAGCCAAUCUACUUUUGCCCAUUUAUCUAAAGAUUUUAUCUAUAAAGAACAAUGGGUAUUGAAGUAGUUAUUCCUUCUUCGUUUUUUUUUUUAUCUCNNNNNNNNNNNNNNNNNNNNNNNNNNNNNNNNNNNNNNNNNNNNNNNNNNNNNNNNNNNNNNNNNNNNNNNNNNNNNNNNNNNNNNNNNNNNNNNNNNNNNNNNNNNNNNNNNNNNNNNACUAAUUAUUUUGUGCAGCCUUUUUUUUUCCGAAGAAAUUGAAAAUACUACACGGUGACGCGUUCUGUUGUAAGAGUAAGACAGUAAGUUAACGGGUUUUAUAUCAAAGUGCCCACCGAACUCGUUAAAAUGUAUCAAGUACCUACCUAAUUUCCACGACGACUCAAUUACAAUACUAAAAUCAUUAUAUAUAUCAUGCUGUUAAUUUUUUUUAAUCCCUUAACAGAAAACGUUAAGUCUAACGCUUCUUUUUGCUGUGUUGGCAGACACAUGGAAUAAAAUGGGUCAACAAAAAUAAAAACAAAAAUACAUGCAAUAUACACACACCUGAUCAAAUUCCACUUAUUCGCUCUCUCUUGGGAUAAAACCUCUGGUGGUUUGAAGGUGCUCUGAAGCUACAUCGGUGAUCUUUGAAGGUAAUUAUUCAUCUUUGAAGCUUUGUUUAGUCCAUUAAUUCGAUUACUCAAGGUAUGCUUUAGGGGUUUAUUAGGUUCAGUGAGUUCAUUUGUUGUGGCACUUUACUAUAUUUUGUGCUCUAUUUUUCUCCUAUCACUAUGGAUUUUGUGUACUUUUAGUGUGUUGUUUCUUUGCUAUAUAGGUCAUGUUAGUGGAUUGAAUGAAGUCAUGUGUUUGAUAUCAAAUUAAUUGAUUAAAAUUUUUAUUUGUUCAAACAGUAUGUGUAUUGUGAUACAUAUAGAGGUUAAUCAUCAUGGUGUAUUUGCUUCCCAACCUGAAUGCUAUUAUAUUGGUGGAAAGUCCACAGUGCCAGAAUCCAAAAUUUUAUCUAAAGUAACACCUCUGUUAUGCAUAAUAAGCCAAUGAAGAAAUGAGUAUCGAGGAAUUGCAAGACCAUGCGAUACACCUUUGUACCAAGAAACAGUAGUGCUAGCAUUGCGCAGGUCCACAAAUUUGAAACUUUUAUCGCCCCAAAUCGAAUGCCAUCCCAAGAGAUUUCAUCAUUUUUUUUGUUUUUAUUUUUAUUUACCCAUCUUAUUUCAGGUGUCUGCCAACUCAGCAAAAACAAUGAUAACAAGAGUUAACACUUAACGGUUUCUGUUAACAGAUUAAAAAAAGUUAACAGCAUGAUAUAUAUAAUGAUUUUAGUAUUGUAAUUGAGUCGUCGUGGAGAUUAGGUAGGUACUUGAUACAUUUUAACGAGUUCGGUGGGCACUUUGAUAUAAAA